rnacentral:rRNA from 1 species
UACGUAGGGUGCGAGCGUUAAUCGGAAUUACUGGGCGUAAAGCGUGCGCAGGCGGUUUUGUAAGCCUGAUGUGAAAGCCCCGGGCUUAACCUGGGAAUGGCAUUUGGGACUGCAAGGCUUGAGUGCGGCAGAGGAGACUGGAAUUCCUGGUGUAGCAGUGAAAUGCGUAGAUAUCAGGAGGAAUACCGAUGGCGAAGGCAGGUCUCUGGGCUGACACUGACGCUCAUGCACGAAAGCGUGGGGAGCAAACAGG